AACGCUGGUGGCGUGCUUAACACAUGCAAGUCGAACGGUGAAGCCCAGCUUGCUGGGUGGAUCAGUGGCGAACGGGUGAGUAACACGUGAGCAACCUGCCCUCCACUUCGGGAUAAGCCUUGGAAACGAGGUCUAAUACCGGAUAUGAGCGCCUGCCGCAUGGUGGGUGUUGGAAAGUUUUUCGGUGGGGGAUGGGCUCGCGGCCUAUCAGCUUGUUGGUGGGGUAAUGGCCUACCAAGGCGUCGACGGGUAGCCGGCCUGAGAGGGCGACCGGCCACACUGGGACUGAGACACGGCCCAGACUCUACGGGAGGCAGCAGUGGGGAAUAUUGCACAAUGGGCGAAAGCCUGAUGCAGCGACGCCACGUGAGGGAUGACGGCCUUCGGGUUGUAAACCUCUUUCAGCAGGGAAGAAGCGCAAGUGACGGUACCUGCAGAAGAAGCGCCGGCUAACUACGUGCCAGCAGCCGCGGUAAUACGUAGGGCGCAAGCGUUGUCCGGAAUUAUUGGGCGUAAAGAGCUCGUAGGCGGUCUGUCGCGUCUGGUGUGAAAUCCCAUGGCUCAACCAUGGGCUUGCAUCGGGUACGGGCAGACUAGAGUGCUGUAGGGGAGACUGGAAUUCCUGGUGUAGCGGUGGAAUGCGCAGAUAUCAGGAGGAACACCGAUGGCGAAGGCAGGUCUCUGGGCAGUUACUGACGCUGAGGAGCGAAAGCAUGGGGAGCGAACAGGAUUAGAUACCCUGGUAGUCCAUGCCGUAAACGUUGGGCACUAGGUGUGGGGCCAGUUCCACUGGUUCUGUGCCGCAGCUAACGCAUUAAGUGCCCCGCCUGGGGAGUACGGCCGCAAGGCUAAAACUCAAAGGAAUUGACGGGGGCCCGCACAAGCGGCGGAGCAUGCGGAUUAAUUCGAUGCAACGCGAAGAACCUUACCAAGGCUUGACAUGUACGAGAAAGCCCCAGAGAUGGGGUUCUCUUUGGACACUCGUACACAGGUGGUGCAUGGUUGUCGUCAGCUCGUGUCGUGAGAUGUUGGGUUAAGUCCCGCAACGAGCGCAACCCUUAUCCUAUGUUGCCAGCGGGUUAUGCCGGGGACUCAUGGGAGACUGCCGGGGUCAACUCGGAGGAAGGUGGGGAUGACGUCAAAUCAUCAUGCCCCUUAUGUCUUGGGCUUCACGCAUGCUACAAUGGCCGGUACAGAGGGCUGCGAUACCGUGAGGUGGAGCGAAUCCCAAAAAGCCGGUCUCAGUUCGGAUCGGGGUCUGCAACUCGACCCCGUGAAGUCGGAGUCGCUAGUAAUCGCAGAUCAGCAACGCUGCGGUGAAUACGUUCCCGGGCCUUGUACACACCGCCCGUCAAGUCACGAAAGUCGGUAACACCCGAAGC
rnacentral:rRNA from 1 species